rfam:Trichobilharzia regenti genome assembly, scaffold: TRE_scaffold0002765
AUCCAGAUGACGAGUCCCAAAUAGGACCAAAUGUACAUCCUGGAU